rnacentral:rRNA from 1 species
UGGGGAAUAUUGGACAAUGGGCGAAAGCCUGAUCCAGCCAUGCCGCAUGAGUGAAGAAGGCCUUUGGGUUGUAAAGCUCUUUUAGUGAGGAAGAUAAUGACGGUACUCACAGAAGAAGUCCUGGCUAACUCCGUGCCAGCAGCCGCGGUAAUACGGAGAGGGCUAGCGUUAUUCGGAAUUAUUGGGCGUAAAGGGCGCGUAGGCUGGUUAAUAAGUUAAAAGUGAAAUCCCGAGGCUUAACCUUGGAAUUGCUUUUAAAACUAUUAAUCUAGAGAUUGAAAGAGGAUAGAGGAAUUCCUGAUGCAGAGGUAAAAUUCGUAAAUAUUAGGAGGAACACCGGUGGCGAAGGCGUCUAUCUGGUUCAAAUCUGACGCUGAAGCGCGAAGGCGUGGGGAGCAAACA